GGUUCAGAUCCGUAGUUUAGAAAUCGGUCAAUGGCGGACGAAUGCAAGAAAAUUUACAAAAAUAAACGAUGUUUGACAAGUUAUUUGGAAAGGAACAUGACGUUUUUAAUGCAAUUGAUGGAUUAAACAUUUACUGGAGGCAACUUUUAUCACGUUUAAAUGAAGUAACAAACUUAUUUUGCCGCCAAAAUUUAGGUUGAUGUACGUCUUCGAGUAACAAGC
rnacentral:lncRNA from 1 species